rnacentral:lncRNA from 1 species
AACAUAUUGUAUUUAGUAUGACAAAAGAACUCAAAAAUUGGAGAAAUUAGAUAAAUAGUAAUCUUAACUUCUAAGAAAUGUCACAUCAUCAUUUACAUAUCCAACUUUAUAUAUAUAAAAGAGUUAAAAAAGAAAAAAUAAGUGAUUAAACAAAAUUAUAUAAAUAACAUUAAUGAUGAGAUGAAGAUUAAGAAAAAAC